rnacentral:sRNA from 1 species
AGGAUAAAACGCACAAUCGCGAGAUUUCCCCAACGGAGAUAGAGACAUUUUCGUCCAUUGCAGCGGCUUUUGUCUUCUGAAAAGUCACCUGAUACCGUGAUUAACACGCCAGGCUAAUGUUUUUGCUCUUUUUUUGAUCCAUAAAGAAAGAUGA